CCGGGCGUGGCGGAAUUGGUAGACGCAAGGGACUUAAAAUCCCUCGGGGCUUGCCCCGUGCCGGUUCAAGCCCGGCCGCCCGGACCA
rnacentral:tRNA from 1 species